UUUGUUGCACCAGAAGUAGGUAGUCUAACCGYAAGGAGGACGCUUACCACGGUGUGGCCGAUGACUGGGGUGAAGUCGUAACAAGGUAGCCGUAGGUGAACCUGCAGAAGGAUCA
rnacentral:rRNA from 1 species